GGGGAAAGCAUAAUCUCAUUUUUAAAUGAAAAAUUACACACACACACACACAAGCCUGGGAAGCUAAAAAUAUACAAUUAAAUGUUAACAGUGUUACUGCUGGAUGGUGAAGCGUGGGCUGAUGGGCUAGCGAUAUGUGGCACGGUACCCUCUCUUGACGCUGGGCAGUGGUGGCAAGCACAGCUCCCAGUCAGCCAUGCAAUCAUCAGGAUACGUGUGGCUCAGGACACCAUGCUGUCAGUUUCCUAUCCUAAGCACAAUGUAACAACUCAUAUUGGCCACGUAGUGUUACGGUAACAUGGAGGAAUAAAAAAGUUGUAUAAACAGCAUCAAGAUUGCCUUAAGACUAUCACGCUAAUAGAAGCAAUAAAGAUCACCAGCUAUUUUAGGGUUUAUUCUGCAAGGGAGGAUUUGCACCUAAGGGGACAUUAUCUGUUCCAACUAAUAUCAAUUAACAACAGUAGUGAAAC